rnacentral:rRNA from 1 species
GAUGAACGCUGGCGGCGUGCUUAACACAUGCAAGUCGAACGGUGAAGCAGGAGCUUGCUCUUGUGGAUCAGUGGCGAACGGGUGAGUAACACGUGAGCAACCUGCCCCUGACUCUGGGAUAAGCGCUGGAAACGGCGUCUAAUACUGGAUACGAAUCGGAACCGCAUGGUUACUGGUUGGAAAGAUUUUUUGGUCGGGGAUGGGCUCGCGGCCUAUCAGCUUGUUGGUGAGGUAAUGGCUCACCAAGGCGUCGACGGGUAGCCGGCCUGAGAGGGUGACCGGCCACACUGGGACUGAGACACGGCCCAGACUCCUACGGGAGGCAGCAGUGGGGAAUAUUGCACAAUGGGCGGAAGCCUGAUGCAGCAACGCCGCGUGAGGGAUGACGGCCUUCGGGUUGUAAACCUCUUUUAGCAGGGAAGAAGCGAAAGUGACGGUACCUGCAGAAAAAGCGCCGGCUAACUACGUGCCAGCAGCCGCCGUAACAC